CAACAAAUAAAAGGAGUUAAAGAGUCCGUAAAGGACUCUAACAUCCUUUUGAAAAAAGUGAGGAUUGUGCAUGAUAACUUGUGAGGCAUGGAACCUUUUGACCUACAAAAAAUGAGUCCAUAAAGGACUCUAGUUUUUAUCCUAUAAAAGGAGGGGGCCUAUGGACGUGAGAAGGUAAAUAGAACACCAAUAAAAAAGAG
rnacentral:lncRNA from 1 species